rnacentral:lncRNA from 1 species
CUGACAUCUGUCUUUAAUUUAAACAGAACUUAACCCUGUUAACCACGUUGUUAUUUUCUACUAAAAAACAAAUAAAAAAACUUAAUUAAGGAUUUCAAGAAUUUCGACUCUACCUCUUCCACUCUCCUCUUCCAUGUUUAUUCCAACUCUUCUUCGUUCUUCUUUCUCUGCUUCUCUCUGAAAAAACAAAACCCAGUGUUGUUCUCCUCCUAUCCAACGACAUAGUUGCCGUGGUUUUUAAUCUUUAUUCUUGUUCAUAAACCCGUCCUAGUUUCGAAUUUAUGUUCGUCAUCUCUUUUGGCCUCACGAAGGAGAGAUAUGAUUCCGAUGAGAGGAACUGAAAAGGUAUUACGACGGAGAGGAUUAGCACUACAAAGAUGUGGAGGGUCUAGGUGAAUACAGUGAGCUACUGGGCAUUUUCAUAAUAGCCUUAUAGCCAUCGGGUCUUCUACACAUUGGUUUUAUCAACAAUCCAUCAAAUUCUAUAGUGAUGGCCUAUGAAGCAUGACUUGGAAGCUUUGAGGAGGAUGGGUUCAGUGGCGGUGGGUGCUGGGAUUAUGAUUGGAAAUAAGGUGCGAUGGUGAUUUUGAUGAGAAUACAUACUUGGUUGGAAUUGGUCUUUGGAUUCGACUUGAAAUUGGGAAUGGGUGCUGGGCAGAAGAAGAGUUCUGGGCUGCUUGGGUUUUGCCCUUCUUCAGAAGGCUUUUUAUUUUAAAUUGAAGAUAUAUAAAAACUAAAAUAGAUAAUUUACAACCUGAACACUGUUAACCUCUGUUAAGUUUAUGGACAGGUGUCAACUUCUUAGUCGUGGCACAGGGUUGGCACUGGUUAAAUGGGAACAGAUGAUUCCGUGGAAGAUUGGUCUGUGGAAGGAAAUGCUCAUUCAAAAAGUCAAGUCCAUGUUUAAUUAUUUUCCAUCAGUUUCAUGUAAUUAUUGUCCAAUGAAAUAUAAUCAGGUAGUGUAUAAGCCUGCUAGAUACGCGUUUUUGUUCUCAGCAUUUCAAGUUUAGGUAAAUGAAUGACUACAAUGUUUCUUCGAAACUCUUCAGAAUGAUGUAACUAUAUGAUUUAGGAAAUAACUUAAGUGAUCAGCUAUGGUCACUUACGGGUGACAAACACCAAUGAGAAGUGGAUAAGUGUCAACAAUAAUCAUAAACAAACAUAUCAAAUACUCAAAACCCCCAUGUUAUGCCCUAAAAUUGUAACAAAGCCUUUUAAAAUGGAUACGUGUCACAUAUUUAUUGGUUGUGAUCACCUUAAGGUGACUAACCCUUGUUACCGAAGUCGGGUUCUAUGAUUUAUGAGCAAUUCAUGUGCCUUUUUCUUGAAAAUAACUUAGGUGACCAGCUAUGGUCACUUAUGGGUGAUAAACACCAAUGACAGAUGGACAAGUGUCAACAAUAAUCAUAAAUAAACAUGUCAAAUACCCAAAAUCUCUAUGUUAUGUUCUUAAAUUGCAGCCAAGNNNNNNNNNNNNNNNNNNNNACGCAGAUAUCUUUCUGUCUGCCUAAAUAAGCCCUAUAGACUAUAGGUAAAUCUUCUCCCCUUGUUCUAUAAACAAGGUUUGAAAUUUUGAUUUCAACGAAAAUUGUGGUAAUUUUCAGCAAAUAAUUUAGGGCAAAAGCUGUAAUACCUGUGUUGUACCGUACCACUGACGGAGUUCGUAACGGAAGGGCAGUAAUGUCAAUUACCGAUACUUGGUAAAAUUAGUUUUCACUGGGAUAGACAGCAAUGCAAGUGCAUAACACCUCUGUUACGGUUUUACAUUUCAAAAGUGAGGAAGAACUGACGAGUUUAGAUGAAUAUGUUGAAAACAUGCCUGAGACCCAGAAGGCCAUCUAUUACUUGGCCACAGACAGUCUGAAAAAUGCAAGAAGUGCUCCAUUCUUGGAAAGGUUGGUUCAAAAAGAUAUUGAGGUUUUGUAUUUUGUUGAACCUAUUGAUGAAGUGGCCAUCCAGAACCUACAAACCUACACAGAGAAGAAGUUUUUAAUUUGGACAUUAGCAAGGAAGAUUUAGAAUUUGGUGAUAAGGAUGAGGUCAAGGACAGGGGAACUAAACAAGAAUCUCUGCUCUGUGAUAGGAUAAAGCAAUAUAUGAUGAUAUUCUCACAGUAGUGGGUUGAUGAUGAUAAGGAACAGAAGGUCCUUAACUCCGUUUAAGUCGACACUCAUCUUUCAUCUUUGAUUGUGAUUUGCACACUCAACGAGACGGAAGUAAAUCACCUGUGCCUAAAAACCCAAUACCAAACCUGUGCCACUUACCAAAUUCUGACAUCUGUCUUUAACUUAAACAGAACUUAACCCUGUUAAUGUUGUUAUUUUCUACUAAAAAACAAAUAAAAAAAACUUAAUUAAGGAUUUCAAGAAUUUCGACUCUACCUCUUCCACUCUUCCUCUUCCAUGUUUAUUCCAACUCUUCUUCGUUCUUCUUUCUCUGCUUCUCUCUGAAAAAACAAAACCCAGUGUUGUUC